UACGAAGGGGGCUAGCGUUGUUCGGAUUUACUGGGCGUAAAGCGCACGUAGGCGGAUCGUUAAGUCAGGGGUGAAAUCCUGGGGCUCAACCCCAGAACUGCCUUUGAUACUGGCGAUCUCGAGUCCGGAAGAGGUGAGUGGAACUCCUAGUGUAGAGGUGGAAUUCGUAGAUAUUCGCAAGAACACCAGUGGCGAAGGCGGCUCACUGGCCCGGUACUGACGCUGAGGUGCGAAAGCGUGGGGAGCAAACAGG
rnacentral:rRNA from 1 species